rnacentral:rRNA from 1 species
AUGGCCCGGACAGAUUCAGAAUUUCUUUCAACCUUUACCGCAACAGGCAGCAAGUCCGUGGGAUUCCUCAAGUACUUUGGGAUCAACUUCUUCUGGAGCUCCUUCCGAUUUUUCUUCGACUUCAGCCUGACGUAUGUUGGCGCCGGGAUGAUCUGCUCGCACCUCGUCAACCUCUCCCUCCUCUUCGGCGUCGUCCUCUCCUGGGGUGUAAUGUGGCCGCUCAUGAGCAAGUAG